rnacentral:precursor_RNA from 1 species
AAUGCAAAACGAGGUAGAGAAAUCCUACAGGAGCGACCUGAGAUCACAUGUACCGGCCAGUGGCCUUGCCUCCAUUUGAGUCUCUCAUGUGUUCUCAGGUCGCCCCUGCGGGGCUUUUCUUUACCGUAUCAUGAUUCUCUGAUAUUGCAACCUUAACUUCCAGGGUGGUAGCACAGAAAACUUUCCUGUUCAAAUGGGAUGGCGCAGUGGUAGCAAUCAUACCUAUCUCCACUCCAAGUGGCAAGUUGAAGUGUAAUAAUGUCUCACUAUUUUUGUGUAAAAGAUUUGGGUAAUUCUCAUCUAAGCUGAUCUCAGUAGUUAUUUAACAAAAAAUCAGUUAGUUACAAAAAAAAAAAAAAAAAAAAA